UACGUAGGUGGCAAGCGUUGCUCGGAAUCACUGGGCGUAAAGCGCACGUAGGCGGCUUCUUAAGUCAGGGGUGAAAUCCUGGAGCUCAACUCCAGAACUGCCUUUGAUACUGAGGAGCUUGAGUCCGGGAGAGGUGAGUGGAACUGCGAGUGUAGAGGUGAAAUUCGUAGAUAUUCGCAAGAACACCAGUGGCGAAGGCGGCUCACUGGCCCGGUACUGACGCUGAGGUGCGAAAGCGUGGGGAGCAAACAGG
rnacentral:rRNA from 1 species